rnacentral:rRNA from 1 species
CGGUUAAGUUAGAAAGGGCGCACGGUGGAUGCCUUGGCACUAGGAGCCGAUGAAGGACGGGACGAACACCGAUAUGCUUCGGGGAGCUGUAAGCAAGCUUCGAUCCGGAGAUUUCCGAAUG